GAAGUGGUAGCUCAAUGGUUAAGCUGUUGGACUUCUGCUUGGAAGGUUGAGAGUUCAAAUCCUACCACUGCU